GGGUACGAGGAUGGCGGCGCUGGACGGGGCCCAGGCCGGGAGCGCGGGUGGAGGAGGAGCGGAGGACCUCCUCAGAGCAGCACCGCCCUAGGGAAGAGAGACUGGCCUGUGUUGGUGCCAAUUUGGCCCCUUCAAUCAAUCCUGAAAGAGUGGGGAGUCUCGACCACUGCUGCGUCUCUGAGGAGGAAUAAGAGUUUAUAGCCAAACACUUCACUAGGAAACAAAAUGCAAGUUUGCCAUUCCUACAAGUUUCCCAGCUCCUGUCGAUCCAGCAGCAGUUGAUGCGGAAGGUUUUGUGGGGGAGUCCCAGGACCCACUCUGUCCUCAGCUUCCAGCCUUGGGGCCACUCCCCAGCACAGCAGAGUCACCCAAGGGGGCCUGUGCCAGGGUGCUUGAAUGGUGUAUCUCCAGGAUCCUUGUGCUUCUCUGGGGCCUGCUGUAGCUCCUCCCAGUUCUGAGUCGUCCCAGGAGAGGUUUCUCAGGAAUUAGUUCUCCCUUAACAAACAGCAGCUUCCUGCUCUGCAGCCUCCCCUCUCUUGGACAUACACUGAGCACCCUUUGGAGAGCACAACUAGCCCUCCUCCAGCCUGACAGUGCAUGUCAGAAGAGCAGCACUGUUUUUGCAUCUCCUGUUCCUAGAAAACCUCUUUUUGACAACGUUAUUUCCAAGUGAUGUAAUGUAACUAAAGAGGACAAGCUCAUGGCUGCCUUCACCUUCCCAGACAUCGCAAGACUGCUCUACCAAACUGCAGGACCCUCCUGCACCCCUGCUUUCUCAGCGGUAAUUUGGGGGUCAGCUGCUUUGGUGGAGGUAAAAGGUGCCUUUGGUGUUUGGGAAGUGUGCCUAGCCUGGCAGAGCAUGCGGCCAACCGGCAGCAUUGCUGGGACAGGCUGGAGCAUCGGACUGUCAGGAAUGUGGAAUGUAAACAGAGCGUGUUACCAGCAACAGCCUGGCUUUGUGCUGUCUCUUGGGAGCAGCAAAACCCACACUCCUGCCUGCUCAAAUUGCAGCCCAGGGGCCACUUGUCACUUGUCAUGUUGGAUCCAACCGUAACUGUAAAUAAGCUGUGCCCCUUCUCCCCCCACCUCCCCAGCCCUGCCAUUUUCAUCUAUUGAAACUCCAGCCUCAGCCUCUGUAGCUUGCACCCAGCUUUAGGAAGCAACAUUAACAUGCUGUGCUGGGAUCCCAAGUGCUCGGGCUGUGCCCCCAGGGCUGAGGAACAAUGGCUCCAUCCAGGAGGGAAGCGCCUUGUGUUUCUCUGAGUCACCUGCCUGCCUGCCUUGCUCUGGACCAGCACAGCAAGGAACAACUCCACCGGCUGGCUAUUUAAAUUAUUUCCUGCCUUUAUGUUUUCAAACACCUUAAAUCCAGAAGACAAGCGUUGAGUGCUCAGGAGAGGCUGCAUUUGCAGGAUAACUCCCAAAGACUCCUUGGCCUGCAAUCUCAAAGCUGGACUGAUGAGUGUGAGCAGGGGUGGAUCAUCCGGCAAAGGAGAGGAACCAGUUGUGAUCCCACUCACCCAAGCUCUAUGCAGUCAUCACGAGGUCAGCCAGCUCUAUGACCUGAAAUAAAAUUCAGUAGCUUCA